GGAAACAGGACUGAAAAGGAAAAGAAAGGUUCCUACUCCUUAAUCCCACUCACUGGUGCAGCCCUCCCUGAGAGUAGGAUGAAGCCACGUGGUCAACCGCCUGAGCGCGAAUAGAUGUUGCUGCUGCUUAGGGGAAAACACAGGGCUUUCAUUUUUUAACACGGCCCCCAAAUACUGGAGCGUCUGGUGCAGGUGCCGUUUUCCACUGCUGUAUCCUUGUGGAUUUUUUUCCUCCAGGGGAAAAAAAGUUUAAAAUCAACUCAAAUAUGCAACAAAAGACACAUUAUCUUCUUGUAUUUCAGCGUUUUACCUUUUUGAAUUAUGCAAGAAAGUGCCACUUCCUUAUUGGAUAAUUUUCUUUUUUGGUAGGAGAUUAAGCAAUGGUGUCUGCAUAUACAGUACUACUGAACGGAUAUACUUGUCAUGUUUGAAUUGCAUACAUAACCUCAAUUAUGGGAAUGAGGAUGGUGCUUUAUGCCAAAGUCGUUUCAAGUUAUUUUCCAAAAAAAAAUUUUAAUGGCAAUACUUGAAGUAAAGCAAAGACAUUUAUUUUUCUUUCCAAAUUAAUCUGAAGGCUUCUUUAAAUAAGACAUCUUUCUUGGUUUCUCUGGUAUGGCAUUUAACUUGAAUAAAAACUGAUUUAAUUCAAUUCAUUGAUGGAAUACAAAUGUGUAGCAUUUAAGUUUCACAGUGCUUGGAGAGUGUUCUGGUUUCUUUUUCAAAAGCAAAGAAAACAUUAAAGCUUGCAAAAUUUCAGGAUAUAGUAUUUCGGUCACAUUUUCCUAAUAUAGUUCUUUAAUUACUCUGAAUUACUGUGUGAAUUCCCAGACUGCAACCCAUGAUCAAAUAAAAAUGCAAAUACAUCUCAAAGUAAAAAUGGGCUAUUUUAAUUUAGUGUCCAUACUAUUUGACCCUAAUAAAAAGUUUAGAUGAGGGGGCAUACACAAUAUCUUAAAAUUUCACAAAAAUUAAUAUCUUCUUGGACUGGGCAACCAUAUUUUAAUUUUUUUUCCUUAAUGAUAGGGUUGCGAACCAGUGGACUGGAAUGUGAAAUGGUUCCACUGCCCAACUUUAGCAUCUAUCUAUCUGGGGAGAAAAAGGGAAACCUUGACUAGGGGACCUAUUUUGCACAUAAAAGACACUGGAAAGAUUUUAAAAAAUGUAUCCAGGCCCCAUCUGCCAGAGAUUCUGCUUUACUUAGGCAUCUGUAUUUUUGAAAUUUCCACAAGUGAUUCUCAAGUGCAGCCAAGGUUGGGAACUACUAUCUAGGUAAAAAUGUUCCAUUUUUUCCCUUAUAGGCUGAAUAAAAUAAUUUACUCAAUAAAAGAAUUAAGUAGUUGUAAAUAAUAUCAACAAGGAAUUAAAAGAUUUUCCCAGUGGGAAAAUCAAGAAACUAUAUAAUGGAUCUGUGUAUCUAGAAAUCCAAAAGAGUGAAGUAAAGUAUAAUCAGUUCUUAGAUAUACUUUACAAGUUGUCUUUAAUAAUGUUUGCAAAUGAUCUAAUCGAGCCCAAAGGUAAAGAGAUGACUGGCAUUACCCUGGUCACUGGUUUCCUAUCUAAAGAUGAUGAAGUACCAAUGGCUUUUGCUGGUGUGAAGAAAAUUAAAAGAGGCAGGGAAAAGUGUUUAUCGUGCUUUUAAGUAAAUACAUUUCAAAAUAUUUUGCAUUUAAAAGUUAAGAGUCCUGGGACUUCCCCGGUGGUCCAGUGGUUAAGAAUCUGCCUUCCAAUGCAGGGUACACGGGGUUGAUGCCUGGUCAGGGAACUAAGAUCCCACAGGCCGUGGGGCAACUAAGCAACUACUGAGCUGGCGUGCCACAACUAGAGAACCCACGCACUGCAACUAGAGAGAAGCCCACACACCACAAUGAAGACCCAGUGCAGCCAAAAAUAAUAAUAAUAAUAAUUAAGAGUCCCCUGGCUUCUCCUGUGUGUGGCUUAUUAACAUAUUUCACUUUUCAUUGGCAUUAACACAGGUACUUUAGGGAGAAGGCUGAUAAGUUAGAAAAUGAAGUUUAUAGAUUCUCUGUGGAUUUCAUUUUUCUGUUCUAUUCAUGGCUCAAUUGGCAUGAAUAGUUGAGAAACUCCUGUAUCAAAAUAAAAUAUUAAUUAUACUUCACAAUAUAUAAAAUUGGCUAAAUAAUGCCACUUGUGUGACAACCUGAAUUUUUAUCAUUGAAACUCUUGUAACCAAAGUCACAUCCUUUACAUAAUAUUUAUUCUGUAUAGGAUUUAUCCACAUACAAUGACGUCAGCUUUAAAACAAUUGACUGUAAUUUGUAUAAACUCAUCUUAUAAAAUAGAGUAAUACACAACACACCUCAGUGAUUUAAGCUGAUAUUCUAGGACUCAGAAAAUCUGAUCAUUCUAAUUCCUAUUUUUGCCACUGUUUCACUGGGUUGUCUUAGGCAGGUUGCUUUACUGUUCUGUGCCUCAAUUUCUUUACCUUUCAUGUGAUAAAUGUCCUAUUUCAUAGAUAUGUAAAGAAUAACAAAAAUUAUUAAAUACUUUGCAAAUAUAAAAUGCUAUAUAAAUGAUAAAUAGUAAUACUGAUCCACUCUAAUAUAAAAUAACUUAGAACUUUCCAUUUAUAAUCUAAAGUUUGGUCCUCCAGUACCUACUGUUAUCACCCUUCCCAGUUAAACACAUCUUAUGCUGUACUGUUCUUAGGGUUUUUCCAUAGUAUUAAUUUUAGGACUCCAAACAUAUAUAACCAAUAUGAGUGGAAAUUUCAAUAUAUCUUAGCAUGACUCAGCAAAAUAACUUUAACGAAUUGAGUUCUGAGCUCAUAAGUAACUGAAACACUAAGCUUUUCAUCCAUUAAGCAGUAACUUGGCCACAUAAAAGCAGUAACUGUUUGAUUUCAUCACUCAGACAUACAAUAUUGAAAGAUUUGUUCUUAAAAAGGUCUUAAGAUAUAUGAUAACUAUAGAAGGAACCUUGUAAAGAUGUGAUUUGCUGCUCUAUGGUUACCAGCUUAUAAGUGCAAGGAGUAACAGGAGUAAUGAAGUGAGACUGUAAUGCUCAAAGGGAAUUCAAAAAGUGAUACAGCCCAAGGUUUUCAGUGCUGGACUCCUGAGCUCUGCAGAGUGUCUGGGGAAAGGUUUGUAGGGAGCUUAAACCAGAGCAGCUCUGUCCUUUAGAGUUUCCUUAAAUGUUGAACUUCUCUAUGAAACAAUUCAUUUGAAGAAGGGUUUCUUGGGUAAAAAAAAAUCUUUUAACCCACUGGCCUAGUCAAUUUUGCUUCCUCCAGACAGUAGGCACGACUCAGUGGUGCUUUAUUUUGCAAAACUUCAUCCUAUCAACCGGAUCUUGAGGACCAUAGAUUUAGAAGGGUGUUCAGAAGCUGAUAAAACAGCAUUCUUGUAAGAGCAAACUUUGGUCUAACCAACUUCCAUUAUUUUCCUAACAUUAAAAAGAAAAAGGGCUUCCCUGGUGGCGCAGUGGUUGAGAGUCCGCCUGCCGAUGCAGGGGACACGAGUUCGUGCCCCCGUCCGGGAAGAUCCCACAUGCCGCAGAGCGGCUGGGCCCGUGAGCCCGUGAGCCAUGGCCGCUGAGCCUGUGCGUCCGGAGCCUGUGCUCCGCAACGGGAGAGGCCACAACAGUGAGAGGCCCGCGUACCGC
ensembl:lncRNA